GCUUGUCUCAAAGAUUAAGCCAUGCAUGUCUUAGUGUAAAUAACUCUUAUGAAACUGCGAAUGGCUCAUUAAAUCAGUUAUCAAAUACGUGAUGGUCGCCUACUACAUGGAUAACCGUGGUAAUUCUAGUGCUAAUACAUGCAACGAUCCCCGACUUUUGAAGGGGAGUAUUUAUUAGAUUAAAAAACCAAUCGUAGCGAUACGUUUUUUGGUGAAUCAUGAUAACUUUUCGAAUCGCACGACAUUGUUGGCGAUGGUUCAAUCAAAUUUCUGCCCUAUCACCUUUCGAUGGUAGUAUAGAGGACUACCAUGGGUAUAACGGGUAACGGAGAAUUAGGGUUCGAUUCCGGAGAGGGAGCCUGAGAAACGGCUACCACAUCCAAGGAAGGCAGCAGG
rnacentral:rRNA from 1 species